rnacentral:snRNA from 1 species
ACACCAUCACAGUUGGCUUAGAUCAAGUGUAGUAUCUGUUCUUUUCAGUUUAAUCUCUGAAACGAGUCUACGGACUCUUUUAAGAUUAUGUGAGUUGCACCUCCUCCCCUCUCCAUCACACACCUGCUAAUCUUCUGCUUCUAGUCUUAUUUUUGAAACCAGUCACUGGGCCGCUGAGCUUGCUCAUGUCCAGAGGCACCGUGUCUCUGGUAUCGCACUACCUCCAGACGACGCGAAGACAC